rnacentral:rRNA from 1 species
AACGAACGCUGGCGGCAGGCCUAACACAUGCAAGUCGAGCGGACCCUUCGGGGUUAGCGGCGGACGGGUGAGUAACGCGUGGGAAUAUGCCCUUCUCUACGGAAUAGUCCUGGGAAACUGGGGGUAAUACCGUAUACGCCCUUUGGGGGAAAGAUUUAUCGGGGAAGGAUUAGCCCGCGUUGGAUUAGGUAGUUGGUGGGGUAAUGGCCUACCAAGCCGACGAUCCAUAGCUGGUUUGAGAGGAUGAUCAGCCACACUGGGACUGAGACACGGCCCAGACUCCCACGGGAAGCAGGAGUGGGGAAUCCUAGACAAUUGGGGCAACCCUGAUCUAGCCAUGCCGCGUGAGUGAUGAAGGCCUUAGGGUUGUAAAGCUCUUUCAGCUGGGAAGAUAAUGACGGUACCAGCAGAAGAAGCCCCGGCUAACUCCGUG